UACGAAGGGGGCUAGCGUUGCUCGGAAUCACUGGGCGUAAAGGGCGCGUAGGCGGCGUGUCAAGUCAGGCGUGAAAGCCCCGGGCUCAACCUGGGAACCGCGCUUGAGACUGGCAUGCUCGAGUUCGGGAGAGGAUGGUGGAAUUCCCAGUGUAGAGGUGAAAUUCGUAGAUAUUGGGAAGAACACCGAUGGCGAAGGCAGCCAUCUGGACCGACACUGACGCUGAGGCGCGAAAGCGUGGGGAGCAAACAGG
rnacentral:rRNA from 1 species